UCCAGGCUGUCUGGGUGGUCACCUGGCUGGCCGUGGUGGUGCUGAACGUGGACGUGGGCCUGGCCGUGGGGGUCGUCUUCUCCAUGAUGACCGUCAUCUGCCGCACACAGAGGGCCGAGUGCAUGGUGCUGGGCAAAGCGGCCAACACGGAAAUCUACCGGCCUGUCCAACGGCACCGUAAGUGCUUCGAGAUCCCCGGGGUGAAGAUCGUGGCCUACCACGCCCCCAUCUACUACGGCAACCGGGGCUUCUUCCGCCAGGCGCUGAGCC